rnacentral:rRNA from 1 species
UACGAAGGGGGCUAGCGUUGCUCGGAAUCACUGGGCGUAAAGGGUGCGUAGGCGGGUCUUUAAGUCAGGGGUGAAAUCCUGGAGCUCAACUCCAGAACUGCCUUUGAUACUGAAGAUCUUGAGUUCGGGAGAGGUGAGUGGAACUGCGAGUGUAGAGGUGAAAUUCGUAGAUAUUCGCAAAAACACCAGUGGCGAAGGCGGCUCACUGGCCCGAUACUGACGCUGAGGCACGAAGGUCAGGGGAGCAAACGGGG